UACAGAGGGUGCAAGCGUUAAUCGGAGUUACUGGGCGUAAAGGGCGCGUAGGCGGUACUAUGUGUGUGAUGUGAAAGCCCCGGGCUUAACCUGGGAAGUGCAUCGCAAACUGUAGAACUAGAGUAGAUGAGAGGGUGAUGGAAUUUCCGGUGUAGCGGUGAAAUGCGUAGAGAUCGGAAGGAACGUCAAUGGCGAAGGCAGUCACCUGGCAUCAUACUGACGCUGAGGCGCGAAAGCGUGGGGAGCGAACAGG
rnacentral:rRNA from 1 species